UACGUAGGGGGCAAGCGUUGUCCGGAUUUAUUGGGCGUAAAGAGCGUGUAGGCGGCUAGGUAGGUCCGUUGUGAAAACUCGAGGCUCAACCUCGAGACGUCGAUGGAAACCAUCUAGCUAGAGUCCGGAAGAGGAGAGUGGAAUUCCUGGUGUAGCGGUGAAAUGCGCAGAUAUCGGGAGGAACACCUGUGGCGAAAGCGGCUCACUGGACCAUAACUGACGCUGAUGCACGAAAGCUGGGGGAGCAAACAGG
rnacentral:rRNA from 1 species